AGUGGAAUAACUGGGUCAAAUGGUGGUUCAAUUCCAGAUUUCUUAAGAAAUCUCCAUACUGCUUUCCCUAGUGAUUGCACCAAUUUGCAUUCCCACCAGCAAU
rnacentral:pre_miRNA from 1 species